rnacentral:lncRNA from 1 species
UCGAAGCCGAUGAUACGGAUGUAACAGUCGGGGUAGGCCUUCUUGCACUCCUCGAACUCAGCGUACACCUGGGUGGCCUCGGUGCAGCCGAACAUGGGCAGCUUCCACAUGGUCCAGUAGCGCCCGUCGUAGUAACAGGGAGACGUGCUGUUCUCACGAUAGACGAACCCGAUCUUGCUGAACUCGAGGCAGGGGAUCCAGUUCUUCCGGAUCAGGUAGUCGAUCUGCUUUAGGACCUCGUCCGUGGAGAGAG